rnacentral:rRNA from 1 species
UACGUAGGGUGCAAGCGUUGUCCGGAAUUAUUGGGCGUAAAGAGCUCGUAGGCGGCUUGUCGCGUCGGCUGUGAAAACCUGGGGCUCAACCCCGGGCCUGCAGCCGAUACGGGCAAGCUAGAAUUCGGUAGGGGAGACUGGAAAUCCUGGUGUAGCGGUGAAAUGCGUAGAUAUCUGGAGGAAUACCGGUGGCGAAGGCGGCAUCCUGGACCGGCAUUGACGCUGAACAGCGAAAGCUAGGGGAGCAAACGGG